rnacentral:rRNA from 1 species
AGGACGAACGCUGGCGGCGUGCUUAACACAUGCAAGUCGAGCGGAAAGGCCCUUCGGGGUACUCGAGCGGCGAACGGGUGAGUAACACGUGAGUAAUCUGCCCCUAGCUCUGGGAUAGCUCCGGGAAACUGGGGCUAAUACCGGAUGGUUCCUACGGGAUAAAGAUUUAUGGCCAAAAGAUGAGUCCGCGUCCGAUUAGCUAGUUGGUGGGGUAAUGGCCUACCAAGGCGACGAUCGGUAGCUGGUCUGAGAGGACGAUCAGCCACACUGGGACUGAGACACGGCCCAGACUCCUACGGGAGGCAGCAGUGGGGAAUAUUGGACAAUGGGGGCAACCCUGAUCCAGCCAUGCCGCGUGAGUGAUGAAGGCCUUCGGGUUGUAAAGCUCUUUUGGCGGGGACGAUGAUGACGGUACCCGCAGAAUAAGCCCCGGCUAACUUCGUGCCAGCAGCCGC